rnacentral:rRNA from 1 species
AACGAACGCUGGCGGCAGGCUUAACACAUGCAAGUCGAGCGCCCCGCAAGGGGAGCGGCAGACGGGUGAGUAACGCGUGGGAACGUACCCUUUUCUACGGAAUAACCCAGGGAAACUUGGACUAAUACCGUAUGUGCCCUUCUGGGGAAAGAUUUAUCGGAAAAGGAUCGGCCCGCGUUGGAUUAGCUAGUUGGUGGGGUAAAGGCCUACCAAAGCGACGAUCCAUAGCUGGUCUGAGAGGAUGAUCAGCCACAUUGGGACUGAGACACGGCCCAAACUCCUACGGGAGGCAGCAGUGGGGAAUAUUGGACAAUGGGCGCAAGCCUGAUCCAGCCAUGCCGCGUGAGUGAUGAAGGCCUUAGGGUUGUAAAGCUCUUUCACCGGUGAAGAUAAUGACGGUAACCGGAGAAGAAGCCCCGGCUAACUUCGUGCCAGCCGCCGCAGUAACAC